rnacentral:lncRNA from 1 species
AUGUUAAUUAACUUAAAAUGUAGAAUAGCAAUUGUUAGUAAUGUCUAUGUCAAACAUAAUGCAUAUAAAAACAUUAAAAUAGGUUCUGUAUAUCAUUUUACCUGUAGUGAAUUUGAAUUAACAUUUGAAAUAAUUUUUAACAUAUACACAUUUUUCUAUGUAGGUCUCACUGUGUUAGACACAUUUUUCUAUGUAGGCCCCACUGUGUUAGACACAUUUUUCUAUGUAGGCCCCACUGUGUUAGACACAUGUUUCUAUGUAGGCCCCACUGUGUUAGACACAUUUUUCUAUGUAGGUCCCACUGUGUUAGACACAUUUUUCUAUGUAGGCCCCACUGUGUUAGACACAUUUUUCUAUGUAGGCCCCACUGUGUUAGACACAUUUUUCUAUGUAGGCCCCACUGUGUUAGACACAUUUUUCUAUGUAGGCCCCACUGUGUUAGACACAUUUUUCUAUGUAGGCCCCACUGUGUUAGACACAUUUUUCUAUGUAGGCCCCACUGUGUUAGACACAUUUUUCUAUGUAGGUCUCACUGUGUUAGACACAUUUUUCUAUGUAGGUCCCACUGUGUUAGACACAUUUUUCUAUGUAGGCCCCACUGUGUUAGACACAUUUUUCUAUGUAGACCCCACUGUGUUAGACACAUUUUUCUAUGUAGGUCUCACUGUGUUAGACACAUUUUUCUAUGUAGGCCCCACUGUGUUAGACACAUUUUUCUAUGUAGGCCCCACUGUGUUAGACACAUUUUUCUAUGUAGGUCUCACUGUGUUAGACACAUUUUUCUUUGUAGGCCCCACUGUGUUAGACACAUUUUUCUAUGUAGGCCCCACUGUGUUAGACACAUUUUUCUAUGUAGGCCCCACUGUGUUAGACACAUUUUUCUAUGUAGGUCCCACUGUGUUAGAUACAUUUUUCUAUGUAGGCCCCACUGUGUUAGACACAUUUUUCUAUGUAGGCCCCACUGUGUUAGACACAUUUUUCUAUGUAGGCCCCACUGUGUUAGACACAUUUUUCGGUUGUGGUAUAAUGCUCAUUUCAUGCUCAAAUGUUUUUAUAUUCCAUGUGCCACAGAAGAAAGAGCUUCAUAGAAAAAAAUAA